GUUCUCUCGUCAAUGG
rnacentral:sRNA from 1 species